rnacentral:lncRNA from 1 species
CAAAAUUGAACCCUUGCACCAAGGAAAUUUCAUGACACAAAUAACUUCUUCAACUGAAUGGUAAAUGAGGCAUUUGCAAUACAUCUAGUAACAGAAUGAAUUUCCAUAGCUGUAAAACAGCAACCACUAUAUUCAUAAAAGCAGCAAAUACUUUACCAUUACGUCCCACUUCUGCCCUGGACGAAUAGUACUACGCAUCUGCAGCACCAUCCUUGACAAUAGCCAAAAGAGACAACCAAUGCUGUGCUUUCCCUUAUUGUUGGCAGGAAUUCCAACAUCAACAUACCGCAUUGGAGAAUCGGUGUCACAAAAAGCAAUGGUUGGAAUAUUUCCAAGAGCACCUUCCUUAAUAGGCUGCACAUAAAUCAAUAACACAAGGUAAAAUCUAGCAAGACAGGCAAAAAAAUGACAACAUGAAAUCAAUUAUAUCCAGAACCCAACAAAAAAAUAUUAAUAUAUUCCUCCUAAACACACAUGUUGUACUUUCUAGCUCAAACAAACAUCUAAGGAGGUAAUAACCUGAUGAUCAGUUCUUGGGUCAGUCAAAAUGAGAAGGCGAGGCUCGCUGAAGGAUGUCUGCAUCUGAUUAGUGAAUGUUCCAGGAGUAUGCCUCCCUGCAAUUGCAUUGGCCCCAGUGUACUGAGCAAACUUCAGCACUGCUCUCUGUCCAUAAGGCCUAGCUGACUGAACAAUGAUAUCCUGAG